CUGUUGGUUUAUAAGGAUUUCUUUUUUAAUUCAUUUUAUUUUACUUUUUUAAAUUUGUUUUUGCAAAGAGAUUUGGCAAACACCAGAGCUUCCAAGGCUGGAGCAGGUGACAGAAAUCCCAUGUUUACGCAAUGCUGGAUCCCUCUCUUUUUCUGAAGGAAAGCAUCUUUCAAGCUGAACUAAGCCCCUGAGAUGGUUCCAUAAGGUGGAAGUCUCCUCCUGUGACUCAAUGCAUGCAAGUUUUCCUCAGUGUGUAGUCUCAGAUUCUCUGACCUGGCUUUCGGCACUUCUGAGAUGAGAUACUGAAAGGAUGUGAUAUUUUACGGUGCAUGCUGGAACCAUUGGCAGAAAUGUAAUUGACUCUUCCCAUGUGGCUGCCAUCACAAGCUCCUUUACAGAUGAAAGACAAGAAACAAAUCUUUCCAUCCACAAAACUGGAGACAGGACUAAUUUGCUGAUGUUGUACAAAGAAUUCUCUCUCUGGAUAUCUGGCUGAUGGGAUCAGAAGAACUCAAAGAUGGUAUUGGAUCAAAGGUCC